UCAGCCCAGAGCCUGAUGCGGGGCUCGAACUCACAGACCGCGAGAUCAUGACCUGGCUGAAGUCGGAUGCUUAACCGACUGCGCCACCCAGGCGACCCUAUCGGCCCUAAUUCUUAUGAAGAACAUAUAAAGGGAAAGGGUGAAUCUACCUAGGACAAAGGAAUAUUUUGGAGAACUUCUUCCCUAGUUCUUUUGCUUUUCACUGUGCUGCCCAUAAUGCUCAAGAUUAUAACCAGAUGCAUCUGUUUUCUAAGCUCAGACAAGUCAAGGAAAGACAACUGGAAUCUUGAAGAAUGUUUCAGUAUCCACUCCAGCCCUGCACUGUCACUUCUGUGGGUUCCCAUGUCCUCACUGUGAAAUGGCAGCCUUGGACCAAAUAUUGUCUAAAGUGCUUUUAAGCUCUAAAAUUUUAUGAUCAAUGGUCAAACAGUGAACAAUAAACUAACCAAUCAACCAAGCAAACUGAACUACAUUUCUUAUGGCCAAUUUCUCAGAUCUUAGAGAUUAGUUUAUUAAAUGUCAGUAAGAGUCAAAUUACUCAAGAGAAGUGCCACACAUGAAAACAAAUAUCGUAGAAAGACCACUUUUCUGUCACUACCUAAACAUGACCUAAAAAGAAAAUAUAAACAGGGUUUAAAAUUUCGAUGUGUGAGAGCAAGGUUAAGUGUCAGACUUUGCCUCAGGUCAAGAAAGAGAGACAACCCCACAGUUUGCAAGAGUUGGUGAGUUUGAGCCCUGAAUCCGGCUCUGUGCUAAUAGCUCAGAACCUGCAGCCUACUUUGGAUUUUGUAUCCUCCCCUCUCUCUGGCCCUACCCCGCCUGUGCUCUCUCUCAAAAAUAAAUAAACGUUAAAAAAAUAAAAUAAUUUCAGUGUGUGUACUAAGUGUAUGGAUUUCCUAUUCCCAAGAAUGUGAGACAUUUCUGCAAAUUUACAAACUGUAAUUAUAUACUUUCUUAACAAUGUUAUACUAACAAAAGCAUAAAAUUCUGUUUGUAAAAUGUGAAAAUGCUUAAACAGUGUAAUUAUCUGUACUUAUUAUAUUUUUCCCUCAUUUAUUGGAAUCAUAUGCAUUUUGUUAGAAUUUCCAGUCUAAACACUAAAUUUGUAGUUGAAAGAAAAUGAAAUGAUGUAAGUGAACUUCCUGGCACUUCAGUCUUAGUUUGACAUUCAGAUAAGCCACCCUCAAAUAAAUAGAAUGUCAUAGGGUACUUGAAUUUCUUUAAUUCUAGGGAGCCAAGAAAACAACUCCCGUGUAGUAUCUAUCUGUUCAAAACAAGACCUACUUGGAUGUUAA